UACGGAGGUGCAAGCGUUAUCCGGAUUCACUGGGUUUAAAGGGUGCGUAGGUGGGCUGGUAAGUCAGUGGUGAAAUCUCCAGGCUUAACUUGGAACUGCCAUUGAUACUAUCAGUCUUGAAUACCGUGGAGGUCAGCGGAAUAUGUCAUGUAGCGGUGAAUGCUUAGAUAAUGACAUAGAACACCAAUUGCGAAGGCAGCUGGCUACACGAAUAUGACACUGAUGCACGAAAGCGUUGGGAUCAAACAGG
rnacentral:rRNA from 1 species